AAAAUUUAAAUAUAUUUAUUAAUUAGAGGGAUAAUUGCGGCAAAAGUCCCCAAAAACUUGAGGUUGAUGCCGAUUAGUCCUCAACCUCAAAAAUUGGCGGUGAAAAUACCUAAGGUCCCAAUUUUUGUUUGUCCGUUGGUCCCUCUUUCUAACAGAUCCGUUAAAUCAAAAUAAAUGCCACGUGUCAAUUUUUUAUUAGUCCAAAUAAUAAUUUUAAUUAAAAAAUUUUAAAAUAAUAUAAAAAAUAAAAAAAAAUUAUUUUAAAUCAUAAAAUUACUUUUUUUUCUCUUUUCUUUUUCUUCGUCAUCUUCUUUCUUCACACAAUUCCCAAUCCCAGCCAUGACCCUCACCCCAUGCCCAUCUCAGCCACGACCCUCACCACCAAAUUCACCAAGAAAAUUCAUUUCCAAAAAUUAGGGUUUCUAAUUUAUUUAUUGUAAAGUAAAAAAAUAUCUCAGUCAGAGAGAAAGUACAAGCUCAGUUGGGUCGAGUUGAAGAAGAGACUAAGCGUUUGGCUACCAUUCGUGAGCAAAAAAAAAAAAGUUGGAAAUUAAUGUCUAAUCUCGACCAACAUUGCACCAAAGCCCUCAAUCUCAUUGUGCUUCAAAGAUCGACCUGUUCAUCGAAGAGAUUGUGAUCACUGAUGCUCAUGUCACUUUCUACAAGUUCAAUAUCAAGAGCAAUCAAUGGAUCCUUAGAAUCUUACGAUUUGAUUGUGAAGGAGCUCCAUUUUCAAGUUUAAUGGAGAACUCUGGUGGUGGUGCUCUAAUUAGAUCCAACUGGUUCUCUCUUAUUUAUUCUCAUCUGUGUAUAUAUAUAUAUAUAUAUAUAUUUGAUUUUUCUUUAUUAUUUUAUCAAAACAAUGGUGGUGGUCUGAGUAAAAAAAAAUAGAUUUAAGUUUUUGUUGGAGAUUUGGUUCGUGAGUGUAGCAAACAGGGUUUUGUUUUGUUUUCUGAUUGUCUUUGAUGUCGACGGUGGUAGUUGGUGACCGUGGCUGGGAAUGGGGGUGGUGGCUGGGGAUCGGCAUGGGUAUGAAUUGUGUGAAGAAGACGAAGAGAAAAAAGAAAAUAAAAGAGAAAAGGAAAAAAAAAAGUUAUUUUAUGAUUUUAAAAUAACUUUUUUUAGUUUUUUAAAUUUUUUAAUUAAAAUUAUUAUUUGGACUAAUAAAAAAUUGACACGUGGUAUUUAUUUUGAUUUAACGGAUCUGUUAGAAAAAGGGACCAACGGACAAACAAAAAUUGGGACCUUAGGUAUUUUCACCGCCAAUUUUUGAGGUUGAGGACUAAUCGGCAUCAACCUCAAGUUUUUGG